GCCUUCGUAGUAUAACGGUAGCACACUCGGUGCGUAUUCGAGAGGUGUAGGUUUGAGUCCUGGCGAGGGCA
rfam:Stegodyphus mimosarum contig99257, whole genome shotgun sequence.